rnacentral:rRNA from 1 species
UACGUAGGGGGCAAGCGUUGUCCGGAAUUAUUGGGCGUAAAGAGCGCGUAGGCGGUCCGAUAAGUCGGCUGUGAAAGUCAGGGGCUCAACCCUUGAAAGCCGGCCGAUACUGUCGGACUAGAGUCCGGAAGAGGCAAGUGGAAUUCCCGGUGUAGCGGUGAAAUGCGUAGAUAUUGGGAGGAACACCAGUGGCGAAGGCGGCUCACUGGACCGGAACUGACGCUGAGGCGCGAAAGCGUGGGGAGCAAACAGG